rnacentral:rRNA from 1 species
UACGUAGGGUCCGAGCGUUGUCCGGAAUUAUUGGGCGUAAAGGGCUCGUAGGCGGUUUGUUGCGUCGGGAGUGAAAACUUACAGCUUAACUGUGAGCGUGCUUCCGAUACGGGCAGACUUGAGGUAUUCAGGGGAGAACGGAAUUCCUGGUGUAGCGGUGAAAUGCGCAGAUAUCAGGAAGAACACCAAUGGCGAAAGCAGCUCUCUGGGACGGUACUGACGCUGAGACGCGAAAGCGUGGGGAGCGAACAGG